rnacentral:rRNA from 1 species
AUUGAACGCUGGCGGCAGGCUUAACACAUGCAAGUCGAGCGAGCUGCGGACGGGUGAGUAAUGUCUUGGAAACUGCCUGAUGGAGGGGGAUAACUACUGGAAACGGUAGCUAAUACCGCAAACCAUCAAAUGUGCCCCGAUGGGAUUAGCUAGUAGGUGGGGUAAUGGCUCACCUAAGCGACGAGCCCUAGCUGGUCUGAGAGUCUUGCCAGCCACACUGGAACUGAGACACGGUCCAGACUCCUACGGGAGGCAGCAGUGGGGAAUAUUGCACAAUGGGCGCAAGCCUGAUGCAGCCAUGCCGCGUGUGUGAAGAAGGCCUUCGGGUUGUAAAGCACGUUCAGCGAGGAGGCGUUACUCGCAGAAGAAGCACCGGCUAACUCCGUGCCAGCAGCCGCGGUAAUAC